CCUACGGGAGGCAGCAGUGGGGAAUAUUGGGCAAUGGGCGCAAGCCUGACCCAGCAACGCCGCGUGAAGGAAGAAGGCUUUCGGGUUGUAAACUUCUUUUCUCAGGGACGAAGAAAGUGACGGUACCUGAGGAAUAAGCCACGGCUAACUACGUGCCAGCAGCGGCGGUAAUACGUAGGUGGCAAGCGUUAUCCGGAUUUAUUGGGUGUAAAGGGCGUGUAGGCGGGAGCGCAAGUCAGAUGUGAAAACUCAGGGCUCAACCCUGAGCCUGCAUUUGAAACUGUGUUUCUUGAGUGCUGGGGAGGCGAGCGGAAUUCCGGGUGUAGCGGUGAAAUGCGUAGAUAUACGGAGGAACACCAGUGGCGAAGGCGGAUUGCUGGACAGUAACUGACGCUGAGGCGCGAAAGCGUGGGGAGCAAACAGGAUUAGAUACCCUGGUAGUC
rnacentral:rRNA from 1 species